GCCCUGGUAGCUUAAACCAACCAAAGCAUUGGCCUUGUAAACCAAAAAUGGGCAUGCCCUGCCCCCAGAGCG
rnacentral:tRNA from 1 species